rnacentral:rRNA from 1 species
GAGUUUGAUCCUGGCUCAGAUUGAACGCUGGCGGCAGGCCUAACACAUGCAAGUCGAACGGUAACAGGAAGAAGCUUGCUUCUUUGCUGACGAGUGGCGGACGGGUGAGUAAUGUCUGGGAAACUGCCUGAUGGAGGGGGAUAACUACUGGAAACGGUAGCUAAUACCGCAUAACGUCGCAAGACCAAAGAGGGGGACCUUCGGGCCUCUUGCCAUCGGAUGUGCCCAGAUGGGAUUAGCUAGUAGGUGGGGUAACGGCUCACCUAGGCGACGAUCCCUAGCUGGUCUGAGAGGAUGACCAGCCACACUGGAACUGAGACACGGUCCAGACUCCUACGGGAGGCAGCAGUGGGGAAUAUUGCACAAUGGGCGCAAGCCUGAUGCAGCCAUGCCGCGUGUAUGAAGAAGGCCUUCGGGUUGUAAAGUACUUUCAGCGGGGAGGAAGGGAGUAAAGUUAAUACCUUUGCUCGUUGACGUUA